rnacentral:tRNA from 1 species
CGUGGCGUAGCGUAGCCCGGCUAGCGCACUUGCUUGUGGUGCAAGCGGUCGUGACUUCGAAUCUCACCGCUCCGACCA